rnacentral:rRNA from 1 species
GACGAACGCUGGCGGCGUGCCUAAUACAUGCAAGUUGAGCGCUGAAGGAUGGUACUUGUACCAACUGGAUGAGCAGCGAACGGGGGAGUAACGCGUGGGGAAUCUGCCUUUGAGCGGGGGACAACAUUGGGAAACGAGUGCGAAAACCGCAUAAAAACUUUAAACACAAGUUUGAAGUUUGAAAGAUGCAAUUGCAUCACUGAAAGAUGAUCCCGCGUUGUAUUAGCUAGUUGGUGAGGUAAAGGCUCACCAAGGCGAUGAUACAUAGCCGACCUGAGAGGAUGAUCGGCCACAUUGGGACUGAGACACGGCCCAAACUCCUACGGGAGGCAGCAGUAGGGAAUCUUCGGCAAUGGACGAAAGUCUGACCGAGCAACGCCGCGUGAGUGAAGAAGGUUUUCGGAUCGUAAAACUCUGUUGGUAGAGAAGAACGUUGGUGAGAGUGGAAAGCUCAUCAAGUGACGGUAACUACCCAGAAAGGGACGGCUAACUACGUG